GACGGAGGGUGCUAGCGUUGUUCGGAAUUACUGGGCGUAAAGGGUGCGUAGGUGGCGUGAUAAGUCAGGUGUGAAAUCCCUGGGCUCAACCCGGGAAUUGCAUUUGAUACUAUCGCGCUUGAAUUCGGGAGAGGUAAGUGGAAUUCCCAGUGUAGAGGUGAAAUUCGUAGAUAUUGGGAAGAACACCCGUGGCGAAGGCGGCUUACUGGACCGACAUUGACACUGAGGCACGAAAGUGUGGGGAGCAAACAGG
rnacentral:rRNA from 1 species